rnacentral:rRNA from 1 species
GAUGAACGCUGGCGGCGUGCCUAAUACAUGCAAGUCGAGCGAACAGACGAGGAGCUUGCUCCUCUGACGUUAGCGGCGGACGGGUGAGUAACACGUGGAUAACCUACCUAUAAGACUGGGAUAACUUCGGGAAACCGGAUCUAAUACCGGAUAAUAUAUUGAACCGCAUGGUUCAAUAGUGAAAUACGGUUUUUCUGUCACUUAUAGAUGGAUCCGCGCCGCAUUAGCUAGUUGGUAAGGUAACGGCUUACCAAGGCAACGAUGCGUAGCCGACCUGAGAGGGUGAUCGGCGACACUGGAACUGAGACACGGUCCAGACUCCUACGGGAAGCAGCAGUAGGGAAUAUUCCGCAAUGGGCGAAAGCCUGACGGAGCAAAGCCGCGUGAGUGAUGAAGGUCUUCGGAUCGUAAAACUCUGUUAUUAGGGAAGAACAAAUGUGUAAGUAACUAUGCACGUCUUGACGGUAACUAAUCAGAAAGCAACGGCUAACUACGUG